AACGAACGCUGGCGGCAUGCCUAACACAUGCAAGUCGAACGAGACCUUCGGGUCUAGUGGCGCACGGGUGCGUAACGCGUGGGAACCUGCCCUUAGGUUCGGAAUAACUCCCCGAAAGGGGUGCUAAUACCGGAUAAUUUCUUCGGACCAAAGAUUUAUCGCCUUUGGAUGGGCCCGCGUUGGAUUAGCUAGUUGGUAGGGUAAAAGCCUACCAAGGCGACGAUCCAUAGCUGGUCUGAGAGGAUGAUCAGACACACUGGGACUGAGACACGGCCCAGACUCCUACGGGAGGAAGCAGUGGGGAAUAUUGGACAAUGGGCGAAAGCCUGAUCCAUCAAUGCCGCGUGAGUGAUGAAGGCCUUAGGGUUGUAAAGCUCUUUUACCCGGGAUGAUAAUGACAGUACCGGGAGAAUAAGCUCCGGCUAACUCCGUG
rnacentral:rRNA from 1 species